rnacentral:siRNA from 1 species
UCCAAGAUCAAGAUGGCUCGUG